rnacentral:tRNA from 1 species
UGGAGUAUAGCAUAGGUUGAAUGUUUCCCGCUUACAUUGGGAGGAUGGCUUUGUGGCCUGCUCUAA